rnacentral:rRNA from 1 species
CCUACGGGAGGCAGCAGUGGGGAAUAUUGCACAAUGGAGGGAACUCUGAUGCAGCGACGCCGCGUGAGUGAAGAAGUAAUUCGUUAUGUAAAGCUCUAUCAGCAGGGAAGAAAGUGACGGUACCUGAAAAAGACGCUCCGGCUAAAUACGUGCCAGCAGCCGCCGUAAUACGUAUGGAGCAAGCGUUAUCCGGGUUUACUGGGUGUAAAGGGAGAGUAGGUGGCACAGCAAGUCCGAAGUGAAAACCCCAAGCUCAACUAUCGGAAUGCCUUAGAAACUGCUCAGCUAGAGUGCAGGAGAGGAAAGUGGAAUGCUUAGUGUAGCGGUGAAAUGCGUAGAUAUUAGGAGGAACACCGGUGGCGAAGGCAGCUUGCUGGACUGUAACUGACGCUGAGGCUCGAAAGCGUGGGGAGCAAACAGGAUUAGAUACCCGGGUAGUC